CCACGUCGGGCUCCCUGCAUGGGGCCUGCUUCUCCCUCUGCCUGUGUCUCUGCCUCUCUCUGUGUGUCUCUGAUGAAUACAUAAAAUCUUAAAAAAAAUAAAAAAGAAAAAGAAAAAAAGGACUUCAGAUUCUGGAACCUAGACACCCCAAUUCAAAUCCUGGCUCAUCCACGUAACAACUGUAAGACCUUAGAAAAGCGUCGUCAGCCUCGAUCUAACUUCUGCUUUUCUUAAGUGUUCUGGACGGCUUCCACGUGUUCUCACUGACUCAGUGAAAAUGAGCUGACUCCAUAAAAAGGUGAUGAGAUUCUAGAAAGAGCUAGCUGGCUGGCUGGCUGAGUGGCCGGCUGAGAAGUUUGGAAAUGCGUUAACCCUUUGGGGGGUCAGUUCUGCUCCCCAGAAAAGAAGGAAGGGGGAGGAGAAAGGAAACCAGCUUCUGAGGUCUCUACUGCCACUGAUCUCAGUGAAGAUGCCCUGUAACGUCAGUGCUGUCGGUGCUGUCGGUGAUGACGGGGCGAGGAUGGGGAGUCCUUUCUGGGAGUUUGUGCGCACCAGGGUGGUCGCGUGCGCUCCCCGCCAGGUGUUGCCAGCCUUCCCCUGUGGGAGCGCGUGAUAGGAUCACACUUCCACGGCCUGGGAGAGCCACGUGUGAGCGGCCCCGGCCAGCAGGCCGUGAGCAGAAGCCACCCUGUCACUGCCAGCCUGAAAUACCCAGCUGUCCGUGCGAUGCCCAACAGCACUCCCCUUCCCUUUGCCGUGGCCACCAGGCACUUUCACCACGAUCCAUCAUCCUGCAUCCUAGCGUGGGAAGAUACAGAGUAGAAUCUUAGCCCGCCUUCCUUGGACCCGUAGCAUCAGUAAGAAAUAAACUUUCCUCCCCCGCCUUUUAAUCUGAUAAUGUUGAAAUAUACAGAGAAGUUGGGAGAACUCUAGAGCAAACGUCCACACACCCAUCACCUGGAUUUCACAGCCUAGAUGAUCGCACCUUGAAAUUUAAUAAGAAGACCACACUGAGACAUGUUUAGAAUUUUGACGGUUGCAGCCC